rnacentral:lncRNA from 1 species
GGGAGGGACCCUGCGGGCACUGGUGGCAUCAGUACCAAACAGGAGGUCAUUACAACAGUUCAAAUGAGAGGACGAGAAGGAGAGAUUGAACCAAGUGAGUAGCAAAAGAAUGGAAAGGAAAGUUUAGAUUAGAAAACAUAUCGAGAAAGAAUAAAAAAGGCGAUAAAAUGUAGUGGAUAGGAGAAGAGCUGGGGGUGAUGAGAUGAGGAUGACAUCAAGCUUUCCAGCUUGAGCCAAAGGUGGAUGCUGAAAUUGACAAAGUGAGAAGUUGAACAGGUUUGGGGAAAGCUGUGCGUGUGGGAGGAGGAUAAAAGGAGCUGUUUAGAAGAUGAGUAAAAGGAGACCAUGUUUCUUCAGAGAGGUUAAGAAGUUGAGUAUAAGGGCCUCCUGUGAGAGGAAACAGAAGAAGACAUGGUUUUCCAGAGAGCUGACCCGGUUCCGUCCUGACUGCUGCUUACUGUGAUAACCGCCCCCCCUAAGCCUUGUGCCUCAACUCUACGAUGAGCAUAAUACUACUACUUCAGAGGGGUGUUGUGAGAUUUAAAUAUGGUAAAAUCCGUAAACAGGUGGCAUAUGGGCAGUGUCAGUUGAUGUGAGCUGUCUUUUCUCCCCCACCUCUCCUGAAUUAGGAGGAAAAAGACAAUAUGCUACCAAUCAGGCACGGUGAGUGACUCCAUCUUCUUGCUCACCACCCCACACAACCCAUCACCCAAUCCUAUUGAUGUUUUUCUCCUAAACAUCUCAAAUCUCUACAAUAGAUUAGCUAUGAUGUCAGUUCCAGUUUCCAACAUUGUGAGACUGGCCAUGUCAGGCCUGCUCUAAGCCUAAUGUGAUGGUAGGAAGCGACCAGGAUUAUAAAGCCAAAGCAAAGGAAGAAUUUCCGCACCUGGCAGAGGUGGACCCUUGGAUGCUGAUGCAAGCCACGAGUCUGGGCUCCUCCUUCCCAAAGGCUCUCUCCCUUCACGUCCCCUGAACAUGGUGGAUGCUCCACUGAGGAAGUAGGGGGCCACCUCAGAGCUACUCCACCAAUUUGAAGCUCAGAAUCUCUUGCCUGGGAAGUUUUCUCUGAUGCCACCAGGCUGCUUUUGGGGCCCCCUCCUCUCUGGUCUGCCCCUCUGUGCUCACCCACUGGCCCUUCUCAUAGCCUCACCUGCACUGAGUUAUUUGCUUUGUUCUGUGUUUUACACCUGUCUGGGAGCGUCCUGGGGAGCAGCGACCUUAGGGCUUACAACAUAGUUGGCACUUAAUGUUGUUGACUGCAUGAAUGAAGUGAAUGAAUGUGUUAAAUGAAUGAAGUGAGUGAUCGAACAAAAGAACUGGUUUAUUUUCUAUCUCAUGAACACUAUGGACCAUGUAAUAUAUUUUCUUUCCCACUUAACCUUGGCUAAUAGGUAAAGGACUAUCGAGAGUUUAUGGUAGGUAUUCAAAGUAUUAGGUCCACCCCUGGCUUUUCACAUCCUUUCUCUCUCCUACGCCACUCCCACUGCUGCUUCUUUUUCACUGAUACUAUUGUAUCAGUACAUUGAAAUAUUUAAAAAUUAAAUAAGUUUGUUUUAUUAUUGUGAAAAAGCCAAUUGAGCAUCUGCCAUCAAUUCCUUAUCUUGUCAAGUGCCUGAGGACCAAGUGCUUCCCCAACGGACGCUCUGUACACAUACUUUAUGAAUGAGAAAAUGCUAUGUAAAUAUUACUCAUGACUUUCCCCAACUGGCAAAAUCCUGCUGUUUAUGACACAGCUCAAAAGUCAACUUCUCUGUGAACCUUCUCUGACAUCCGGUUGCCAAACACCUUCUGCAGCCCACCCCACUGUUCUCACGGGGCUGUCCCAUGGUUAUUUGGUUUCCCAAGUAGAUUAAGUAACCAACUUAAUUACUUUAAUAUCUCCUGUGACUUAUCUUAGUUGUGAGCAGCUAGGAGAUUUUAAUAUAGGAUUUUUAAAUGAAUGAAAAAAAUUAAUAUAAAGAGAAAGGUGGAUGAUGACAGGGGAAAGGCUGAGUGGAUUUAAGGCAUGGGGCCUUACUGGGAUUGGAGCCUCUGAAAUGGGGACUUGGUUCAGACUUUGGUUGUAACUACACACUAAUAUGAUCUGCACAUUGUAAGAUGUUUCACGUGUGCUUGAAUUCUUCAGGCCUAACUUACAAUAACUACAUCUCAAUUCAUUAAUUUAUUUUGUUUCCUUCAAGCUAAUCAGUGGGAUACCAUUAUUUAAAGAAGGGGUCAUUUAACAAGUAGUUAUUGAUUCAAUAAAUACUUAUUGGUGGUCAUAUCCCUCAUAUUUAGCCCAGUGCUUGGCACAUAGUAGGUUCUCAGUAAAUAUUUAUGGAGUAAAUGAAUAAAAUCAAUUUAUUUAAAAUAGGGCCUGAUUUUCCACUUUGUAUAUCAAUCACUUGUAUAAAAGGUAAUGAAGUAUCAUCCCCCUCACUUGUUCCAGUUAAGAAAAUAAGCACAAAGAGGUGAAGCAAUUGGCCUGGGUCACUGGCACUAUGAUGGCAUUAUUAGGUCCUUUCAUCUUCCAUUUGCAUCUCCUUCUGCUCCUAGGCUAUUUGACCAUUUUUGUUAAUGUGACCUAUAAAAACAAAUAAUUUAAUUAAUAUUACAAACAUUUAUUGAACUACCACAUCCCAAGCACUAUGCCAGGUGCCAGAGACAUAAAAAGGAAUAAGACACAGUCCCUGUGUCCCUGUUCUUGAGGAGUUCACAGACUCCUGUUGUAAAUAAGUAAUUGCAAAGUAAUGGCC